UUAUGAAUUUCUGUAUGAAGUUGGUGUUUCCAAUGUAUUUGGUCCUGGGACUCGAAUUCCAAAGGCUGCUGUUCAAGUGCUUGAUGAUAUUGAGAAGUGUUUGGAAAAGAAGCAGCAAUCUAUGUAACAUCCUGUUUUUGUCUUAGCAUUUUUCUAAAAUAUUAUUUUAGUUACGAUUAAAGAUGAGGGUAAAGCUGUGUCUUCAAUUUAAUUCCAACACCAGAUAGGUACUUUUUUGAACACUAUACAUUAAAAUACCUUACUUAUAAGGAUAUUGUUAUGCUGUAAGUAUGUGUGCAGUUUCACUUUAAAAAAAAAAAAAAAAGAAUUGUUCCUAAAAACUCUCCAUAACAAUACUUUAUCAGAAACUUCUAGACAAAGGUAUUUAAAAAAAUCAUGGUGAAAUAUCGUUAGAAAUAUUUCUUAUAAAUCUAUUUACUUUCUAUUUUAAAAUUAAACAUUACCUAAAAAAACCUGACUAGCUUCAUUCCUCAAUUUAGUAUUACAUCGACUUAAGCACCAGAAAAUAAGAUCCACAUAUCAAUAAAAUAAUGACAUCUAUCUUGGAAAAAAUAGUGGAGAGUAUUUAUGUGGGGAAAUAGAUUGUAGUUGUGGUCUUCAGCCAAACUCUACCAGAAUCACUCCAAUAAAAGUGUAUUAAAUCAAACACAGCAGGUUGAAAUAGGGGGGAAAGGGCAGAAUAUUUCCUCAAGUCUGAUUUUACUUUCUUCCUUAGUAUGAACAAAUGACCUUGUUAUUGCUGGGCUUGGCUCAAGACCCAGGAGAGUGGAUGUUUAUGAACAUUCCCUUAAAUGAAAGUGCUUAGGUUGUUAAUAUGGCAUCCUCCAGAAUAGUGAUGUCAGCUGUGAGUGUAGGUCUAUGAUAAAGAAUUGAGGUUUUCAGAUCCAGAAAGGUACUACAUUACAUAAAUUUGCUCAUUAAAGAUUAGUUGCAAAAAUAAAAAUAGCACAAAAAACACCUGCACUUUGCUUACUAAAAGAUUUGCUCAUUAAAGAAGGAAAGUUGUUUUUUAUUGUUGACAUAAUUUACUAAAUGAACAUAAAAUAAUUGAUUUUUUUGUAAUGAAUUUUUAUUGUAUUUUGUUAGGUUAGAGAACAAUCUUUUAGAAAGUAUUAUAUGUUGCUAUAGAAUUUACAAAUUACACUGUAACACAACUUUAAUUUUCAGAACAUUACUAUUAGAAUGGUAUUGUCAUGAUUAUUGUUCCCAUCUUACAGAUGAGCAACGUGACUUCCAAUCCAGUGAUAUA